rnacentral:rRNA from 1 species
UACGGAGGGUGCAAGCGUUAUUCGGAAUUAUUGGGCGUAAAGGGCGCGUAGGCGGUUGAAUAAGUCAGAUGUGAAAGCCCUUGGCUUAACCAAGGAAGUGCAUUUGAUACUAUUUGACUUGAGUAUGGGAGAGGGAAGUGGAAUUCCUGGUGUAGAGGUGAAAUUCGUAGAUAUCAGGAGGAAUACCGGUGGCGAAGGCGACUUCCUGGACCGAUACUGACGCUGAUACGCGAAAGCGUGGGGAGCAAACAGG